CUGAGCAGAACUAUGAUAUCGAAAUAAAUAUAAAGUAAAAAUAAUAAAGAAAAAAUAAGAGAAAUACACCCAAGCCAAUUCUCCAUUUUAUACAUCGACCUUCCCUACGGAAACGAAAUAAAUUCUGGAAAAAAAAGCGCACGGUAAAAAUGUUGAUUUUUUAACCCCCUCCCCCCAAGUGUACGUUUUGUACACUUUGGAAAAUGGAUGACCCCUUAGACAACUCAUAUGCGGAGAUAGUGUCGCGCUGGAAAGUAAGUAACUGGGAACAUGGAAUUGUCACGAACACGCACAGCGCAAGUCAUUAGACCUUAGAAAAGAAAGUGGACAAAUGAUGCACCGAAACCGACGAGCCGUACGAAAAACAAAUUAACAAUACAAACCGUUUAAUGAAGCGGAAAACAUAUAAGUUAAUAUAGAUGAUUCUAAAACUGACAAUCAAAACGAGAUGCUAAACAAUUCAAGAGACGAGGCAACAUCGGUACGGUCCGACACAAUGAUUACAACCUACAGCAGAAAAAUAAAAAAGACCAUCGC
rnacentral:lncRNA from 1 species